AAAAUGAUCCACAGUCUAUUUCUCAUAAACUGUUCCGGUGACAUAUUUCUAGAGAAGCACUGGAAGAGUGUUGUGAGCCAGUCUGUCUGUGAUUAUUUCUUUGAAGCUCAGGAGAAAGCUGCUGAUGUUGAAAAUGUACCACCUGUCAUUUCAACACCUCACCACUACCUCAUCAGUAUCUACCGGGAUAAGCUCUUCUUUGUGUCUGUCAUACAGACUGAAGUGCCACCUCUCUUUGUUAUUGAGUUCCUACAUCGAGUUGCUGACACUUUUCAGGACUACUUUGGUGAGUGUUCGGAGGCUGCAAUUAAGGAUAAUGUGGUCAUAGUAUAUGAGCUCUUAGAAGAAAUGUUAGACAAUGGAUUUCCACUGGCAACUGAGUCUAACAUUUUGAAAGAACUGAUUAAACCACCAACAAUUCUACGUUCUGUUGUCAACUCUAUUACAGGCAGUAGUAAUGUUGGGGACACACUCCCCACUGGGCAACUGUCCAAUAUCCCAUGGCGCCGGGCAGGAGUAAAAUAUACAAACAACGAAGCCUAUUUUGAUGUCGUUGAAGAAAUAGAUGCAAUUAUAGAUAAAUCAGGAUCUACAGUCUUUGCAGAAAUUCAAGGGGUCAUUGAUGCUUGCAUUAAGCUAUCUGGAAUGCCUGAUCUCUCUCUCUCUUUCAUGAACCCAAGGCUUCUCGAUGAUGUCAGUUUCCACCCCUGCAUCCGAUUCAAGCGUUGGGAAUCUGAACGAGUUUUGUCAUUUAUUCCUCCAGAUGGAAAUUUCCGACUCAUAUCAUACCGCGUCAGCUCACAAAAUCUAGUGGCAAUACCAGUGUAUGUGAAACACAGUAUCAGCUUUAAGGAGAACAGUUCUUGUGGCAGAUUUGAUAUAACAAUUGGACCAAAGCAGAAUAUGGGGAAAACUAUUGAAGGAAUUACAGUAACAGUUCACAUGCCAAAAGUUGUGCUGAAUAUGAACCUGACACCAACACAAGGAAGCUAUACAUUUGAUCCAGUCACCAAGGUACUAACAUGGGAUGUGGGGAAAAUCACUCCACAAAAGCUUCCAAGUCUUAAAGGGCUGGUAAACUUACAGUCUGGAGCACCCAAGCCAGAAGAGAAUCCAAGCCUCAACAUACAGUUCAAGAUCCAGCAGCUUGCUAUUUCAGGCUUAAAAGUAAACCGCUUGGACAUGUAUGGGGAGAAGUAUAAGCCAUUUAAAGGAGUCAAAUAUGUCACGAAAGCUGGAAAGUUCCAAGUGAGGACAUGAGAAGAGGCCAAAAUUUCUCAACAAGAUCAAUUUGUUUCCAAGUGUCAUUACAAUUUACUAUUAGAACACCGUCCAUAACUGCACCGUACCAUUUUCCUUCUGUGCUGUCUUCUUAUAUCCAAGUAGAAUGUAUGCCAAGAGUCCCUUGCCUCUACCAAUUUCUGCUAAAAUGUCCAAGUAGACUUUUUCCUUCUACAAUUAAAUUAUUGUAUUUAUUAGUUUGAUAGAGUCCAAUAAAUUCUUUCAAUAACUCUGACUAUACUGUCAAUAAACAAAGAUGAAAGCAACAAGUUGAUUUUUUUUUUUUAAGCUUGACUGUUAAUUCAACGUUCUCAAGUGUUAGCAGGCCGAACAUGAUCAGUUUUUCUUCUGUAUCAUCACAUAUGAUGUAAAGGUUGCUACAAAGCACUUUCAUGUCCUCUUUUCCUUAACUUAGUAUGUUCACAGCCAUUCAGAAUUCCCUUCUUUAUCACUAGCAUCUACCAAUAGAAUAUUCAGUAUUAUUAGAAUAUUUACCAAGAACAGAGGUCCACUAAUCCCAUAAUAUUCCCUUUUUCCAGGUUCUGAAGGGACUAUACCCUAAGAGCAAAUGAAAUAGAUGUUUAGUUUCUGCAUGAUGAAGUACCCAUCAUUUUAUUCAGAGGGCAUUCAUCUGAUAGGUGCAUUCCUUAAAUGGUGCUACAGAACCACCCUUGGAAUAUGCUGGUCUUAUUGUCCAUAGAGGCAAAUGAUUUGUAAAAACAACUAACUAUAAUGCAGCCGAAAGGCAGCACCAGUGAACAUAUGGUAAAUAGAAAUGAGGCAGUGUUAGAGAUUGCUGAGCUAAUUAGUAGUCUUGGACAUUUCCCUUUAAUUCAAGCAGGUUGGAUUCUGCCUGUAUGGUUAGAAGCUUUUGUAGGUGAUAAAAGCAGUGAUAAAUGAGUUAGCAACACUAAGUAUCACCCUUUAAUGAUAACCUUUGCAGAUCUAAAAAAAUCAGGCAAAAACUGUUAUGUCACAGCUCUAUCCAAGAACCUACUAGUACUGUUUUGGUCAGGGCUUAAACAAGACGAGGAAUAUGUCUCCAAAAGCUAGCUCUGCCUCAAAGCCUUGGUGGGUCCUUGAGAGCCUUUCUAUACUGGAUUUUAGAAUACUAACAGUGGACCUGUGAUACUCCUGCAUAUUUAAUAACUUCCGCUUUUUAGGGGAUAGUGAUGGUCUCUCCUACUAGACUCUUCUAAGAUGAAAGACUACUUCAACCAUGAGUGAUCCAUAUUAUCUGGCUGCUUUCUGCCUUGUUAACCUUUGUCACUUCUAAUACAUAAUCCCCAAAGUUGUCCUUUAUCACACAGAUUCUUGUUAAGUAAAUAUACUACUGUUGAUUUCUACUUCUUCCACUUGGAUUAAAUAAAUAUCUUUAGUUUCCAGAUUUUGAGGAUUAGUUUUGUUGGCUAUUCUUCAAAAAUAAAGGAAAAACUUGACCUAAAAAUUCUUACUA